UGGCUCAGGAUGAACGCUAGCGGGAGGCCUAACACAUGCAAGCCGAGCGGUAGAGAUUUCUUCGGAAUCUUGAGAGCGGCGUACGGGUGCGGAACACGUGUGCAACCUACCUUUAUCUGGAGGAUAGCCUUUCGAAAAGGAAGAUUAAUACUCCAUAAUAUAUUGAUUGGCAUCGAUUGAUAUUGAAAGCUCCGGCGGAUAGAGAUGGGCACGCGCAAGAUUAGCUAGUUGGUGAGGUAACGGCUCACCAAGGCGAUGAUCUUUAGGGGCCUGAGAGGGUGAUCCCCCACACUGGUACUGAGACACGGACCAGACUCCUACGGGAGGCAGCAGUGAGGAAUAUUGGUCAAUGGGUGCAAGCCUGAACCAGCCAUCCCGCGUGAAGGACGACUGCCCUAUGGGUUGUAAACUUCUUUUGUAUAGGGAUAAACCUACCCUCGUGAGGGUAGCUGAAGGUACUAUACGAAUAAGCACCGGCUAACUCCGUG
rnacentral:rRNA from 1 species